rnacentral:lncRNA from 1 species
CAGAUGUUGGAAACUCACAAACAAUUUUAUGAGAAUUGUGCAGUAACCGAACUACUACUGACAUCUGUUUUACAAGAAAAUUCUGCAUUUUUAUUUAUAUUGACUGUACUGUAAACUCACCCAAAUUGUAGUAUUUCACAUUGUCUCCCAAUGUUACUUUCGUCAAGUCCUUCAAAGUAUCAUUUGCGUCAAUGAUGCUCUGGGCUUUGGAAGCAUGCCAAAAUGCCAUGAAUCUCGCAAUGAAUGAUGCUGCGAAAAUUGCUAACAUACCAAAAUCAAGCAUGUUCCACAACUCAAACAAAUAUUCCUUGGGGCCCUGAGUCCAGAUUUCUUUACAUUCAGCCCAUAUCAUGCCUAUUACCCAGGAUAUAAUGAGCAUCUCCAUCCAUGAGAAGCAGGAUGUUUUCAUCCUGAACAGCUGUUUUGCAUUAUCUGUGCUGGUUUCAUUAGGAA